CUUUCACAGUAUAAUAUAUACUAUUAUAGACUUGAUGACACUUUAUAAUUUUGCUCCCUACAUACUUUUGACAUAGUAUGUGACUACAUUCUCUUCUUAAGUAAUUACUGUUUCUUGUAAGUAUAAAGUGUAGAGUUAGAUAUCUAUUUCAAUUUUCAAGAUUCUUCUCCUCUAAUUAUUUGAGUCGUCUUCCUUAGCUCGCCAAUGUUCUCCUCUGCAACUGAGAUCAGAAACUUGGUUCAAUUUGAUCUCUGUCAGCUGGACAUGUUCUAUAGAUGGAUCAAGGCUUGUUUUUACAUUCUCAUAUAUUGGUACUCUUUAUAGUUAGUAUGAGUUCUCUCAAUCAAGAAGAAAUUCAAGAAAACUGCAUCAAUACAGAACCUGGGAGAACAGAUACUCACCAUGCUCGGAAUCUAAAAGCUAAGUUUGAUUAAACCUAUUUUAAUCAUUACCUACUACAUAUGCCAGUAAUUACAUUUCCAGAUCUAUGUUUAAUUUAGAUCCUUAAUUUCUAAACAGUUAAGAAUUUUUUAUUGUCUAUAAAUCUUGGGUUUUUUCUAAUUGCAUGUGUGAUUUAAACUACAUUUUCCUCAUAUCUAUGCCAACGAUUACAUUUCCAGAUCUGUGUUUAAUUUAGGUCCUCAAUAUCUAGAGGGUUAUCCUGUUGUCUAUAAAUCUUUGGUUUUUUCUAAUCGCAUGUGUGAUUUAAACUACAUUUUCCUAAUAUUUAUACCAGCAAUUACAUUUCCAGAUCUGUGCUUAAUUUAGGUCCUUAAUAUCUAAACAGUUAAGAAUUUCUGAUUGUCUAUAAAUCUUGGGUUUUUUCUAAUCGCAUGUGUGAUUUAAACUACAUUUUCCUCAUAUCUUCAAAAUAGAUAGAUGCAUGUUUGAUAUAUCAUCAAAUCUGAGACUUUAAAUUAGUAUUAGCUUCUCCAUUCCAUGAUUUUUAACUUUGAUUGUAGUUCAUAGUUGUUUUCCGAGAGAUUUGUGCGAUUCUAGAUGAUUCAUUUUAGAAUCGCAGUUGGCUUUCUUUUUUAUUUUUUGUUUUUACUACUAUAUAUUGAUAUAUUGACACAUAUCCUACGAAUUUCUAAAUUGGUUUUUGAACUACAUCCCCAGCUUAGAGAUGGAAGAAGGAACAGAUUCAUCCACAAUUGGGAGUAGGUGUUUCACACUAGUUUGCAGUAUGAGUUAACACAUUCAUUCGCUAUUCAAUGAAAAUUAGAAGUGGAAGGCUUACCCGCUAUUAUAUCCGCAAAUGAGAUCCCCUUAUUCAGUAGUCCUGCCAAAGCUCCUGCUUCUCCCUUAAUUGCAGCCUCAGAGAGCUUAU